AUUGAACGCUGGCGGCAGGCCUAGCACAUGCAAGUCGAGCGGAUGAGAGGAGCUUGCUUCUCGAUUCAGCGGCGGACGGGUGAGUAAUGCCUAGGAAUCUGCCUGGUAGUGGGGGACAACGUUUCGAAAGGAACGCUAAUACCGCAUACGUCCUACGGGAGAAAGCAGGGGACCUUCGGGCCUUGCGCUAUCAGAUGAGCCUAGGUCGGAUUAGCUAGUUGGUGAGGUAAUGGCUCACCAAGGCGACGAUCCGUAACUGGUCUGGGAGGAUGAUCAGUCACACUGGAACUGAGACACGGUCCAGACUCCUACGGGAGGUAGCAGUGGGGAAUAUUGGACAAUGGGCGAAAGCCUGAUCCAGCCAUGCCGCGUGUGUGAAGAAGGUCUUCGGAUUGUAAAGCACUUUAAGUUGGGAGGAAGGGUUGUAGAUUAAUACUCUGCAAUUUUGACGUUACCGACAGAAUAAGCACCGGCUAACUCUGUGCCAGCAGCCGCGGUAA
rnacentral:rRNA from 1 species